rnacentral:rRNA from 1 species
ACGAAGGGGGCUAGCGUUGCUCGGAAUUACUGGGCGUAAAGGGCGCGUGGGCGGAUACUUAAGUUGGGGGUGAAAGCCCAGGGCUCAACCCUGGAAUAGCCUUCAAUACUGGGUAUCUUGAGUUCGGGAGAGGUGAGUGGAACUCCGAGUGUAGAGGUGAAGUUCGUAGAUAUUCGGAAGAACACCAGUGGCGAAGGCGACUCACUGGCCCGAUACUGACGCUGAGGCGCGAAAGCGUGGGGAGCAAACAGGA